CCUACGGGUGGCAGCAGUGGGGAAUAUUGGUCAAUGGGCGCGAGCCUGAACCAGCCAAGUCGCGUGAAGGAUGAAUGCCCUACGGGUUGUAAACUUCUUUUAUCAAGGAAUAAAGUGAGGCACGUGUGCCUUUUUGCAUGUACUUUAUGAAUAAGGAUCGGCUAACUCCAUGCCAGCAGCCGCGGUGAUACGGAGGAUCCGGGCGUUAUCCGGAUUUAUUGGGUUUAAAGGGAGCGUAGAUGGGUUGUUAAGUUAGUUGUGAAAGUUUGCGGCUCAACCGGAAAACUGCAAUUGAUACUGGCAGCCUUGAGUCCCGUAGAGGUAGGCGGAAUUCGUGGUGUAGCGGUGAAAUGCUUAGAUAUCACGAAGAACUCCGAUUGCGAAGGCAGCUUACUAAACUGCCACUGACAUUGAUGCUCGAAAGUGUGGGUAUCAAACAGGAUUAGAUACCCCAGUAGUC
rnacentral:rRNA from 1 species